UACGGGGGGAGCAAGCGUUGUUCGGAUUUACUGGGCGUAAAGGGCGCGUAGGCGGCCAGCACAAGUCAGUUGUGAAAUCUCCGAGCUUAACUCGGAAAGGUCAACUGAUACUGUGCGGCUAGAGUGCAGAAGGGGCAACUGGAAUUCUUGGUGUAGCGGUGAAAUGCGCAGAUAUCAGGAGGAACACCGAUGGCGAAGGCAGGUCUCUGGGCAUUAACUGACGCUGAGGAGCGAAAGCAUGGGGAGCGAACAGG
rnacentral:rRNA from 1 species